AGCAUUAUACCGUGAAACUGCGAAUGGCUCAUUAAAUCAGUUAUCGUUUAUUUGAUAGUACCUUACUACUUGGAUAACCGUGGUAAUUCUAGAGCUAAUACAUGCUGAAAACCCCAACUUCGGGAGGGGUGUAUUUAUUAGAUAAAAAACCAACGCCCUUCGGGGCUUCUUGGUGAUUCAUGAUAACUUCACGGAUCGCAUGGCCUUGCGCCGGCGACGGUUCAUUCAAAUUUCUGCCCUAUCAACUUUCGAUGGUAAAGGUAUUGGCUUACCAUGGUUUCAACGGGUAACGGGGAAUUAGGGUUCGAUUCCGGAGAGGGAGCCUGAGAAACGGCUACCACAUCCAAGGAAGGCAGCAGGCGCGCAAAUUACCCAAUCCCGACACGGGGAGGUAGUGACAAUAAAUACUGAUACAGGGCUCUUUUGGGUCUUGUAAUUGGAAUGAGUACAAUUUAAACCUCUUAACGAGGAACAAUUGGAGGGCAAGUCUGGUGCCAGCAGCCGCGGUAAUUCCAGCUCCAAUAGCGUAUAUUAAAGUUGUUGCAGUUAAAAAGCUCGUAGUUGAAACUUGGGCCUGGCUGGCAGGUCCGCCUCACCGCGUGUACUUGUCCGGCCGGGCCUUUCCUUCUGGAGAACCUCAUGCCCUUCACUGGGUGUGUUGGGGAACCAGGACUUUUACUUUGAAAAAAUUAGAGUGUUCAAAGCAGGCCUUUGCUCGAAUACGUUAGCAUGGAAUAAUAGAAUAGGACGUGCGGUCCUAUUUUGUUGGUUUCUAGGACCGCCGUAAUGAUUAAUAGGGACAGUCGGGGGCAUCAGUAUUCAAUUGUCAGAGGUGAAAUUCUUGGAUUUAUUGAAGACUAACUACUGCGAAAGCAUUUGCCAAGGAUGUUUUCAUUAAUCAGUGAACGAAAGUUAGGGGAUCGAAGACGAUCAGAUACCGUCGUAGUCUUAACCGUAAACUAUGCCGACUAGGGAUCGGGCGAUGUUCUUUUUCUGACUCGCUCGGCACCUUACGAGAAAUCAAAGUUU
rnacentral:rRNA from 1 species